AGUAUAUAUAUUUUAUAUAAAUACCACAUUGUCUUUCAUUUAAUUUGAAAAAGUACGAAAUCCAUGUAGUCGAGUGUUUACUGUUCGUAUUCAAGCCGAGCUUAGGCAUAGAAAAAGCUUUCGGCUGCUUUGGACCCUACAAUUGAGCUACACACGUGAUUGUGCGUUGACGCUGAGCAAUUAGCCGAAUGCGAAUUAAAUUGAAUUUAAAAAUAAAAUCAUAUCAAAUGAUAUAAUGGCUUGUGUACACACACACGGCUAUUUAUAGGGCCUUUUGUUGGCUGGCCACUUUUCUAGCCAAACGAUUCGCAACGCAUUCCAUCAGUUAGAAGCAGUUAAUGCGGUUUAGAAGCAGAACCAUUUAGGUGAGCCAAAUGCGAAGCCAGCGAUAUGCCCCGCCGAUAUGUAGGGUAUACAUAUGUACAUAUGAAAAAAGCUCUCGCGACACACUAAAAAUUAAAGGUACUCGCACAACUCCGCCAACACAAUCACAUACAUACAUACAUAAAUUAACAACCAGAGUAGACCUCGUAUAACUUGCUCCCCGACUCAAAAGUGGUUGGCUGCAGCUCGUUUGUUGUUGCACCACCACUUCGAGUUGCUUACGAAAAAAAAACACUAGGUUUCUGUAGUAUUUCUAUAUUUCAGUAUUUCUGUACUUUUUGUAAUUUUUCCAUUGUGAUUGUAGCUGGCCAAAGCGUUGCACUUGCACCAACACAGAUGCAGAAUGCCAGGGUAUUUGCUGGCGACUACACACUCAUCUUGAUUGCCACCGAACAGCUGCGCCGCCUGCUGUUUGCUUAGAUUAUUUCUAUUAUUUUGAACAAUUCUGGGAAUUGCUUUUAAUAUUAAUAAUAAUAAGAAACUUGAUAAGAUGCUUGCGGUGCUGACUAUCGAACCAGUGUUCUGAGUCGCGUAUUGCUCAUACGCCAUGUUGGCCAGAAACCGGUUUUCUUCACUUUUUUCGUGUCGCUCGAUUUUGUUUUGAUUUUUCCCUCCUCCACGGACUUGUAUCAUGCUAGAUGCUCGUUUAUUAUCUAUUUUCGGUGACCCAACAUUGGACCCGCCUCGGGUAUUAUGGUUUAUGAUUAAAAUGUCACAAGCCAACGAACCAACGGGCAACCUACGAAACAAAAGCCACACUUCAGGUUGGUCAAACUCAAGUGAUUAGUCAAUAAAACGAAGUGGCUUUCUUUGUUUAUGUUUAUGCAACACGAAAGAUGAGAGAUGGGGCACAGCAUCCCUCUCUCUAAUUGGGAUCAUCCCACCGCUAAUCCCAUGGCUUUUAUUUACCAUUUCUUUCUCAGCUGGCUGCCACAUUAUUAAUUACUGUAUUAUUUAGUUUGUAUAAUUUGCAUAGCACAAUGAACAACCAAACUCAUUUCACAUUGCAUCACUGAUUGUGCGAGCCAAUUGAAAAUGUGGUUUGGGGCGGUGAAAUAUGUGAGUGACGGUUGGAUUACAAUAAUCCAGAUACUUUUACAGCAAGUUGUUGAAAUGCUUGACUAACGUGCAUUCUAAUCAGCUAGGAAUUUCCAAGCAGUUGCUUCUAUGAUAUUCUACUGAAACUAAUGAAUUAAUAAGUAAUCGAUUGGAAUAUAAGAAAACCUCAGCGAUUUGAAUAUUCCAAGUAGUUCAAGUAUAAGUAGAGAUCGUAACAUAAAAUACAUUUCAUUUUCUUUAUACUUCUUUGUUAAUAUAAGAUUAUUUGUAGAGCAUCACACUUAAACAUUUUACUUAUCAAGUAAAAUAUAUAUUAAAUUAUCGCUCUAAGUCAAAAGCAGCAAUACUAGAGCACAUUCUUAGAUUAGAAUUAUUAGAAAUCUCGACAAUAAGAAAGUCCCCGAUUUUUCAUUUAUUUUAAUAGCUAAGAAUAUAGUAGCGAAUAUGAAUUCCCCUCAAAGUAAACGAGAAUCAGACAGAGAUAUAGAAAACUAUAUCUGUGAUAUUCGAUCCAGGUAUCGAGCUCUAAAGUUUUACGAUUUGGGUUUUUCCCCAACCAUAAACAACCAUAGUGAAUCCGAGCCAAGUGGGAAAAUGGUAGAGAAAGAUGCGCUUAGCCCGACUCGCAAAUUGGCACCCGGCUUCGGAUUUCGGCUCCGUCUCCGGCUGGAACUACUGCGACUUUGAUCGCGGAGAUCACGGGGAACGGCGAUGCCGGGUGCUACGAGGUACCAGCGGCGAACUGGCACCGUCUUAGGCCUGGGAAUUGUGUAAAGUGAAUACAGAAAAAAUAAAAACAAAAACUGCAAACGAACUACACAAAAAUAAACACACACAUAAAACACAAACUAAAAACGAGAAAAAUGAAUGAAAAAAGCGAAUUCAAUGCAGGUAUCGGACGGAUACAUGCGAGUAUCUCAGAAAUACAAUGCGCCAGUGCCUAAUAACUGGAUACAAGUUGAUGUUUGAGUGUGUCUAUGUGCAAAAUAAAAUCAAAACAAAACUCGAAAAGCUCAUAAAUAAUAGCCACACAAAAAUGAACAACAAAGGUUUUCAGUCGUUAGCGCAGCUCGCCAUUUUGACUUGGCUAAAAUUAGCUAAUAACGAUAAAAAAUUGUAAACAGAAAACCAAAAUAAACCAAAAAAGUUAUGAGCUUAUGAAAAGCAAGCGAAAUAAAAUAUCAUGCGGAUUUUGAUGGACUUGGAAGUACAGAAAAUAUUACUGCAACGUUAUUAGCAACUAUCUUAACUAUCAAAUAGUACUCUUAUUUAACUCUAAUUCCGUGCUCGCAUGUCAUUUGGGUGUGAUUUUCUCAUAAAAAAAAAAAACUAAAAACUCUUACUUAUUUAUUAGCCCCAUUUCUCAAGAAGGUUCCCCGAUUAAAUUAUACCCUUCAGGCGCCACUUCAUUUGCCUACCACUUUUCCCCACCCAAUUAGUGAUCCCAACUUCCUAGACCCGCAUUUGAUGCGGUUCCCGGUUUCAUCGCAUUUGAUGCGAGUUGGUCACGGGAGAGUGAACGAGGCAGUAAUUACGAUUGGAUUUCGAAUGCUUCAACGAUUGCCGCGGGGAUUUUGUUUAAUUUUUUAUACGUGUACUUGCACACAUGUACGAGUAUAUACUGUAGGUGGCUGCCGGAGAAACUGCGUUCUAAGAAUCGAGCAUCUUGCCCCGCUUUCGUAUUGGAACGAACGUGCGACCUGUGAUUAGCACCUCAUCGCCAGGGGCCCAGUUCAUCCGGAGUUACCUGUCCACAGAGAACUGGCCUGCGACCCCUUCAUCGCCACUUCGUCCCUGCGGAGAUGGGCAUGUGAUGAAAGCAUGCCCAAAUAAAUUAAGCCAAUUUGGACAGGAACAAUAGAAGUUUUUUGUAUGCCUAGCAGUCCGUAAAUUGACAGAGAUCUUCAUUUGUGCGGUUCGUGUUUUUGCCUCUCGGUUCCUCUAAAUCUGCCAAUUAGCGACGCUUUGAGGUGUGUGUGUGUUUAUCCACAAAUAUAUAUAAUUAACACGAACAUAAACGGAUAUUGUUAGGGUUUUUGGUACACCCUUAAAAAGGGGAUAUCAUUUGUUUUGGAUGUUUUAGAAGAUUCUAAUACCAUUAAUAUCUUUUAAUAAUUAUUUCAUGUAUUAUUAAAGAUAUAAAGAUCUUGAUAUAUGAUUAAAGAUAAAGAUAUAUGCUUUAUUUUAAAUAUAUUUCAAUGCUGAUAAAUGGUUAAGUAUAUCUUACUCUAAAUCUAUGCUUUAAAAAGCAUUGCCUGCUUUUAGGAACCCAAAGGAUACUUAUGACCUAAAACUUAAAUAAAUAAAACAUAAAUAUUGAAAUUAAACUUUUUUUCAUAAUUAUAAUUAUAUAAUUUGCUUAUUAGAGUAUAUAACGCAUCGGCUUGAUUUGCGCUAGUUCUGCCCCCCACAUAUCAUUUUUGACUUACAUCGCACUCCACUGCAAUUAUCACAUUUUUCGAAUGCGGAUCCAUAAGUUUUCUAGUUCAGCUGCGAAUGUCAAUGACUCGGCGCUGCUGUAAGCUUUUUGGAUUGGAACUGCGCCGGCGUUUACCGCUCUCAUUUGUCAACGCCGGCAAACAGCCGCAAGUACAACUAAGUACACACAAAAGUGCCGCCCUCAAUGCCCACGGAGCGUUGCGUUUUUUAACGCUUCUCAGGUAUUAAUUGCCGGCCAGAUCACGAAAAUAAAUAAAUAAAUAUGCUCGCAGGGGGAAAAAUUAGCUACAUUUGUAGCCGCACAUAUUUGGUUUAAAUGCUCAUUAAAUUGAGUUAUGGCAGAGGAGGAAGCUAUGCAGUCUGUGGGUGCUGGCUACUUAGGAAAGUGAUUUAAGAAAGUUUGGGAAAUGGGAAACUGGGUUGUUUAACUCAGAGGAAUUCAAUGCUUUGGUUUAAAAUUUUC